GAUGAACGCUAGCUACAGGCUUAACACAUGCAAGUCGAGGGGAAACGAUAGAGAAAGCUUGCUUUUUCUAGGCGUCGACCGGCGCACGGGUGAGUAACGCGUAUCCAACCUGCCCAUCACUUGGGGAUAACCUUGCGAAAGUAAGACUAAUACCCAAUGACGUCUCUAGAAGACAUCUGAAGGAGAUUAAAGAUUUAUCGGUGAUGGAUGGGGAUGCGUCUGAUUAGCUUGUUGGCGGGGUAAACGGCCCACCAAGGCGACGAUCAGUAGGGGUUCUGAGAGGAAGGCCCCCCACAUUGGAACUGAGACACGGUCCAAAACUCCUACGGGAGGCAGCAGUGAGGAAUAUUGGUCAAUGGACGAGAGUCUGAACCAGCCAAGUAGCGUGCAGGAUGACGGCCCUAUGGGUUGUAAACUGCUUUUA
rnacentral:rRNA from 1 species